AGUGUAAUUCAUUCUCUCCCUCUAGAAAAUCAGAACAGCCGCCAGCCCCCCAUCUUCUCCACUAUCCGGCGAUAAUCGCCACUCUCAAACAGCGACACCCCUCUUCCCCUCUCCGUCUCUCCACCUCCUUCUUCUCCUCUCUCUCUCCCCAUUCUUUCCAGCGAUGCCUCCUCUCUCCCAUCACCUCUUCUCCUACCUCCUCUCUUCUCUCUUUUCGCAGCGCCAGGCGAAGCUGCCAGCAACCAGCGAGAGCAGCAGCAGCUCUGGCGAAGUGCGCCAGGCAGCGCUCUCUUCCUGUCUCUCCUUGCCUCUUCUUUCUCUUCUCACUUCCCUUCUUCUCUGUCUUUGUUUCUCCAUUGCUGGCAGCGCUCGCCCUCGCUGCCAGGCAGCAGCAAACGCAGAAACUCCAAUGAGCAGCCGCUAAUGAAAACAACAACAAUAAGAAAUCAAAACAGACGGAAAAUCAAGGUUUCAAACUUGAAGUUCAAGUUGAAGAAGAGAGAUCAUUUUUUUAAUUCAUAUUUGAAUAUAUUUCUUAUUUAUUUAUUUAACUUUUUUUUUUGUAAUAUUUGUAUAACUCCAAAGAUCUCAUAUAUGAUAUAAGAUUUGGGGGAUUGGCUAUAAGGGGAGGGUGAUAUAUAUAUAUAUAUAUAUAUGCUAAUUAUUUUC